ACUCCCAAACCCCUGUGAACAUACCUUAUGUUGCCUCGGCGGAUCAGCCCGCGCCCCGUAAAAAGGGACGGCCCGCCGCAGGAACCCUAAACUCUGUUUUUAGUGGAACUUCUGAGUAUAAAAAACAAAUAAAUCAAAACUUUCAACAACGGAUCUCUUGGUUCUGGCAUCGAUGAAGAACGCAGCAAAAUGCGAUAAGUAAUGUGAAUUGCAGAAUUCAGUGAAUCAUCGAAUCUUUGAACGCACAUUGCGCCCGCCAGUAUUCUGGCGGGCAUGCCUGUUCGAGCGUCAUUUCAACCCUCAAGCCCAGCUUGGUGUUGGGAGCUGCAGUCCUGCUGCACUCCCCAAAUACAUUGGCGGUCACGUCGAGCUUCCAUAGCGUAGUAAUUUACACAUCGUUACUGGUAAUCGUCGCGGCCACGCCGUUAAACCCCAACUUCUGAAUGUUGACCUCGGAUCAG
rnacentral:rRNA from 1 species